UUUCAAACUCAUAUACUUUUAUUAUUACCUUUUCCAAGACUUAGAAUUAAAAUUCAAUAUGCAAACUACAAGAAAACAGACGGACUAUUGAUGAAGGAAAUAUGUCACCAAUAAUCCACUAUCAUUAGAAUCAAAAUCGUAACUUAAACACAACAACCAUCACCAAUAGACCGUCACCAAAAAACACUUCAAAUUAAAAUUCUCACAAACAAAAAAUAUCUAUGGUGGAUUUGAUGAUCAAUGCUGGCUGAUUUACUUUGAAUUGUGGAUUUUUUUUGGAUUAAAACCAGUUGACAAUUUAUUAAUUUCAAAACGUAACAAAAGUGAACAUGCUACUCCUCCAAACCCUAGAUAGACAUUUUCCUCCCAAUCCUAGAGCUUAUUUACAUAUUUUUAUUCCAUAUUUCCUAAUUUACAUAUCCCCUAUGCAUGUUGAUCCUUCGUAUCUUUAUAUAGGAGGUACUUUCAAGAUAUGAGUUGGGGAGAAAAACCUCGAUCGGCUCAAGUGUGGCCUUUCCCAUGUUUUAAUUAGGGAAAACCCAUCCCACAUCUUGAAUUUACCCCCUAUGAAACUACGUGAUUGGCAUAUGUGAUUCCUCCUGAAGUAGGUACCCCAUAUCCCAAGAGAUAGCUUCCUUCUUCUUCCCUCAUUUACCUUCCCUGUAAUAUAUGAUAGUUAGUGUUAUUACAAUUACUGAUUUAAAUAGGGUUCAGAUCAGCUUUGUUCAUCAUUUGAGAGAGGUUUGCGUUUUUCUUUGUUCAUCUUUGUUCAUCAUGUGGUUUCGUGAUCCUUUACCUAUCUUCUAUUUGGAUGGAGAUUUUCAAAUAUCUUGUGAUUAUUUUAGGGGAAAUCCUCAGAGAGGUUUGUUCUUGCUCGUCCACUAUACAUCUUUGGAAGCUUCCCUCUGAUGUACCUCUAUAUAUUUGAUGCGUAUUCACAAAGGUAGAACAAAUAACCUUGUGACUCUUUUGUCCCUCCACAUAGCCAACAAUCGGUGUCUUCUAAGAUAUCCCUUCUGGCCAACUCUGUGUUUGUUGUGAUCCUCUGCUCCCAACGUGCUCUGAGUAUCACUAUUUACAUAUUUUCAUUAAAUUUUCACCCAUAGGUACCCAAAAAAUAAAGAUUGAUUUGAAAUACCUCAUUUUUUAAUUCAGAUAAAAGUUGAAUGUCUGUUGAUUAUGAAUAAUCUUGUUGUUUUUGUAGGAUACUGAUAUCAUGUGGUUUCGUGAUCCUUUACCUAUCUUCUAUUUGGAUGGAGAUUUUCAAAUAUCUUGUGAUUAUUUUAGGGGAAAUCCUCUCGACAUAAAAAGCAAUAUUCCGAAUUCAGGUUUAAGUUAUGUGAAGUCUAACAAUCGAACUAUAGAAUUCUAUAAACUCUGGUAUGC
rnacentral:lncRNA from 1 species